rnacentral:rRNA from 1 species
UACAGAGGUCUCAAGCGUUGUUCGGAUUCAUUGGGCGUAAAGGGUGCGUAGGUGGCGGGGCAAGUCAGGUGUGAAAUCUCGGGGCUCAACCCCGAAACUGCACUUGAUACUGCCUUGCUCGAGUACUGGAGAGGAGACUGGAAUUUACGGUGUAGCAGUGAAAUGCGUAGAUAUCAGGAAGAACACCUAUGGCGAAGGCAGCUCUCUGGGACGGUACUGACGCUGAGACGCGAAAGCGUGGGGAGCGAACAGG